rnacentral:sRNA from 1 species
GCUUUGCUAUUGUGCUUUUGUGUGUCCUCCCCUCAGUGGGAGUCAGUCACUGUCCACUGCACCUCCUCGGAGAGUAUGCAGGUCACUAAAGAAGAGACAGGAGCAUAGAUAUAGCCACAGGUAUGCUUUGUCUGGGGUCACAAACAGAGGAGGGCCACUAGGGAAGGUGCCACAGCUCAUACCCAACUGGCCCUCUUGAAAUGUGAGCAGCCCUCUACACCCCGUGAAACCUUGAUUUUGUUUUAUGUUAAUAAUCCAGAGCUUGUCAAGCACAAAAUCUCAUCCCCGCAAGGGCUGCUCCUGGGAAUUCCCAAUUCUCACUGCCAGUUCUUCUUUCUUAAGGGAGUGAGGAGGGCAAAGGGAAAGAGGAAGAGGGAGAGGCAGAGGCCAGCAGCAGGGCUCAAGGUCACGGCUGUCUUUGGAAGAAAUCGCUGCCAAUACAGUUAAUCUUGACUGUGAAACUCUGCAGGCCUGUCAGCUCUCUCGGAUGAGAAUCCUCAGCAAUGGCUGAAGACUCGCCUGUUCCUGUUCUUCCUUUCUUGAUUUCAGAUGUUUGUGGGCCUCCUGUUUUGGUUCCAGUUUUUCUGUGGCUUCUCUGCAUCUGCCAUGAUUGACCAGUGGUAUCUAAUCUUCUUUAAUCUGCUCUUCUCGUCACUUCCCCCGCUUGUGACUGGGGUGCUGGACAGGGAUGUGCCGGCCAACGUGCUGCUGACCAACCCGCAGCUCUACAAGAGUGGCCAGAACAUGGAGGAAUACCGGCCACGAACGUUCUGGUUUAACAUGGCUGACGCCACCUUCCAGAGCCUCGUUUGCUUUUCCAUUCCUUACCUG